rnacentral:rRNA from 1 species
GAACGCUGGCGGCGUGCUUAACACAUGCAAGUCGAACGGAAAGGCCCCUUCGGGGGUACUCGAGUGGCGAACGGGUGAGUAACACGUGGGUGAUCUGCCCCUGACUCUGGGAUAAGCCUGGGAAACUGGGUCUAAUACCGGAUAUGACCUCCUGCUUCAUGGUGGGUGGUGGAAAGUUUUUCGGUCAGGGAUGGGCCCGCGGCCUAUCAGCUUGUUGGUGGGGUAAUGGCCUACCAAGGCGACGACGGGUAGCCGACCUGAGAGGGUGAUCGGCCACACUGGGACUGAGACACGGCCCAGACUCCUACGGGAGGCAGCAGUGGGGAAUAUUGCACAAUGGGCGCAAGCCUGAUGCAGCGACGCCGCGUGAGGGAUGACGGCCUUCGGGUUGUAAACCUCUUUCGCCAGGGACGAAGCGUGAGUGACGGUACCUGGAGAAGAAGCACCGGCCAACUACGUGCCAGCAGCCGCGGUAAUACGUAGGGUGCGAGCGUUGUCCGGAAUUACUGGGCGUAAAGAGCUCGUAGGCGGUUUGUCGCGUCGUCUGUGAAAUUCUGCAACUCAAUUGCAGGCGUGCAGGCGAUACGGGCAGACUUGAGUACUACAGGGGAGACUGGAAUUCCUGGUGUAGCGGUGAAAUGCGCAGAUAUCAGGAGGAACACCGGUGGCGAAGGCGGGUCUCUGGGUAGUAACUGACGCUGAGGAGCGAAAGCGUGGGGAGCGAACAGGAUUAGAUACCCUGGUAGUCCACGCCGUAAA